GGAGCUGGAAAGAUAUGAAGGAGGUAGACCAUGAGUGGUUUUGAAAGCCAGGUUAAAAAGGAUAAACUUUGUCUUCAAAGCCAUGAAAUUUCAUAGAUACGGUUUCAGCAGGUUUGAGUUUUAGAAAUUAUUGUGAUUGCUGGGUGGAAAAUUAAUUGGAGAGUGGCAAGACUGGAGAUAGAGAGUUGAUAUAUGAUGUUACUGCCCUUUUAUUUUCCAUUUGCCAUCUGAAAAAAUGUAUCUCUGUAAUAGAUGAUAAGGGUAAGCAAAAGCCAUGCCAACAGAACACUCAUGAAAUUAAAAAAGAAGGUCAUCUAUUUACUCAUUCAGGCCAUAUCCAGUAACAGAGUCUACUGCAUCAUAUUAACUGAUAAACCCAGGAUGACAAGAGAAACAUGGGACUCACUCUUCAUUUGCAUUGACUCCAGCUAAGAGCUUCAGUUUUCAUGCUUUGCUUCAGAAUUACUGGGUUGGCAUGGGGAGAGGAAGUUCAGAUGGGGAGACCUGGAGAUUUUCUGAGAAGUGGUCUGAUGCAGAACUGAAAAGGCCAACACGAGAAUCUUCAAGUACAAUUGCCUGGGAAUCCUGAGGUCUGGACAGCAACACCUGAAUCUGAAUCUCUUUUGGGUUGAAUCAUAAAAGAAAAUAGUAUGGAGAGAUUUAAGGCCAGGCCUCUGGAGAAGGAAUUGAUAAAAUAUGUGGUAGUACCUGCGCUACAGAACAGAAUUCACUUGGAAGUUCUUGGCAUAUAAUGAGUAAAUUGAAGCCCAGAAAGGCCAAGAAACUUGAACCAUUUAAAUACCUGUGAGAAAGAAUCUGAAGAGCAUGAUGUUUAACCCUUGUACAUUUAAGGAAGUAUUAAAGGAAAUAAAUACAGGAGAAAAGUGAACUGCUAAACAUGCCUGAAUACAUCCUGUCAUUAAUGUCUGGAUUUUAUUUUUUACUUUUAAUACAUAUGUUAACAUUUUUAAUGUAAUAACUAAUGUAUAAAAAUCACAAUAACAUUUACGUAAGUUAUAUAAGGCAUAUCUGUGACUCCAUCACUGAUCUUACCUCAGUCAGCCCUUGCAGGAAUGUGAUUGUCCCCAAGCCCAGCCUGUGCCUCCGUUUUAAGAGGUAACUAACUCCUCUCCUAAAUUUUUUGCUUGUCAUUCUCUUACAUUUUUAGAAGUAGUUUAAUUCUUUUUAGUUAAUGUUUCCCCAACAAUAACAUUGUAUACUUUUGCUUGAUUUUGAACAUUCUAUUUGUAUCAUGCUAUAUGUCAUCUUCUGUGACUUAUUUCAUUUCACAUUAUGUUUCUAAAAUGUCUUUCUAUGCUUGUGAGUAGCUUUAGUUCAUUCAUUUUUAGGUUGUGUAAUAUUCCACUGCAUAAUUAUUCUAUAAUAUAAUUCAUUUAGUCGCUCUCCUGUUGUCGGAAAUUGGAAGGUUUUUUCUUUUUUUCUUUUCAAUUUUUACUGAUACGAAGGAUACUGUGAUACAUGUUUUAUUCAUUUCUGUUGGUAUACAUGCCCAACAAUUCUUCUAGUUUCUAGGGUACCUAAGAGUGGAAUUGCUUGGUCUUUGCAUGUAAACUAUUUAACUUGAUAUGAAGGUGUCAAACUGUUUUCCAAAGCGAUUAAUUUGAUGUGUGUUCCCAUCAGAAGUGUAUUAAUAUCCAUUCAUUCAAAUCUUUACCAAUGUCUGGCAAUGUCAGACUUCUGUAUUUUUGUGCAUUUAGUCUUUCACGGGUGUACUCUCUUCCUGAUGUCUAUUCUGUUCUGGUCAAUAAAUUUGACUCUGUGUCUAUACCACACAGUAUUAAUUAUUCUACUUUUGCCUUUUUUUCUCUUUUUGACAGAGUCUUGAUCUGUGGCCCAGGCUAGAGUGCAGUGGUGUGAUCUCGGCUCACUGCAACCUCCGUCUCCCGGGUUCAAGUGAUUCUCAUGCCUCAGCCUCCCAAGUAACUGGGACUGCAGGCACGCACCACCAUGCCAGGCUAAUUUUUUAGCAUUUUAGUAGAGAUAGGGUUACACCAUGUUGUCUAUGCUGGUCUUGAACUCCCGAGCUCAGGCAAUCCACCCAUUCAGCCUCCCAAAGUGCUAGGAUUACAGGCAUUAGCCACCGUGCCUGGCCGGCUUUUUAUGCAACUUGUCUUGACAACAAAUUAUCAAUGUUCUCAAAAUACACUUUGGGAUUUUGCUUUUCAAAAGAGGCCAAUGCCACCUCAAUCACAGCUUUCAAACCUCCUAGCUCAAGGUUCAAUGUCCUUUUCCUAGAGUCAGACAGUUGGCCCUGCCAGAUUGCUGUGCACUGUCUCAGAGUAUGAUAGGACAAUAUUGGAGGUCCCAGAUGUCUGCUCCUUCUGUCUCCAAGAGCCUUCCUGGUCAACACCGUGUUGGCAGGUCAAAAUAUGUGCUGCUUGGCCGUUUGCCCUUUUAUGCAUGAUCCUGUAAAUAUCUGUAAGCCACAACUUACUUAUCUACUCUCCCAAUUAUGAGCACCCAGGUUACCUCCAGUUGCUGGACACUACAAACCACACUGUCAUCUUUGUGCAUAUAUGCUUACAAGCCUGUGUGAGGAUUUAUUUGAGAUAUAUGCCCAGGAAUGAAAUGGCUGGGUCAUAGGUUAUGUAGAUACUUUAUCUGCUUAAAUAAGAACAGCAGCACCAAUGUACACUUUCACAUUACUCAACAUCUUUACCUAUGUUUCUCUGCAUGCACAGGUAUAAAGUCUGGAAAAUUACAGUUUUGGCCUUACUCACACAACUUCCUGAAAAUAAUUUCUCAACCCUAGUCCCCAUACACCAUGAAAAGAGCCUUUCCUUAUGACAAUGUGGACUUGUGCUUCUUUGCCCCACCAGGUCCCUAUCUUUCUUUCUGCCUCCUCCCUAUGCAUGAAGCACCUCAUCCUCAAAUUUGGGGAGAUCCUGUCCAAUUUAAAAAUUCUGCUACUCAAUCAUACUAAACUAGAAAGCUAUGAUUGAUUUUGAUGAGUAUGACUAUCUAUUUGGGGUGGGAAGAAGAGAUGAACAUGGUUUGUUUUUUAGAUGGUAAAAACAACUAAAUAGAACACUAAGAGAUGUGAGCAAGCACUAGAGUGGUGCCAAAAUUGUUCUUCGCUCUGAUCCCUCCGUUCAACAGAUCUAUAAAGCCCUUCCCAGUCUCUCUUCAGAUGCCAGGGCUACGGGAUUCCACUGGCUGUAGCACCUCAUCGCCUGCUGUAGGCUCCAUGACUCGUUUCCAGUCUGCCAUCUUGUGGUCCUUCCUGUUGCUGCAGUCAUACUGGUUUACCGAGAGGGCAACAGUGGAUUUAGUAGACUUCAGGUAGCUUGCGUCACUGCUCCUGUCUCCGUGUAACUCACAAUAAAGAGAUUUUGGCAUCAACUGUGAGCUUAGGGGUAGAAGAAGGGUAUAUGUUAGGAGGUGGGAGCGGAAUCAAUUCUUCAAAUCUUAAUGAUGUAAGUCAUAAAGAUGUUUCCUCGAGCCACUGUUGAUUCAUUGUUAAUGAUUCAUUACUGCGUUUUCUGCAACACUAAGAAACCAUUGCUUCUACUAACUUUAUAAAAAACAUAUAAGAUAAAGAACAAGUGAAAAUCCAGAUUUUUUUAAUGAGGGUGAAGAAGAGUGCUCACCAGAUUCCCUUCUGGUCUGGAAAAAGAAAUCCCUUCUUUUGUGGAUGUCAUGUCUACCAUCUCUCGGUGAAAAACAUUUCAAGAGAAUCCUAAGAUGGAGAGAGCAUUGGAAGUCAUCCGGCCCAAUUCCCUCAUGCAAUUCAAAGCUUCUUUGUAAGAAAAAUGCCCCCAGAAGUUUGUUUGCAUCAUGAAGAUCAGAUUUUGAGAGAUCCAGUCUGGCUCUUCCCUGUACAAAACAUUCCUCACAAACAGAAUAUGGACAAUUGUUAAAUGUCAAAGGUAAAGUUAUUGUGGGAACUCCUUCAAAAAGUUCAAGUGAGAGCCCAUUCUAUGAGUGACCAUUUACAUCUAAUUUUUUUCUGUGCUAUGUUACUUAUUCUGAAGUGGUUGAUCCAAUUCCUAAAAGGGAAUAUUUCAUUACCUUUUAUUUCCUAUAGCAUCCAUUCUGACCCCUUUUCAGUUUAAUUAUUCCCUGAUCCCAGUCUUCAUUCACGCAUUUAUUUGAGAAAUAUUUAUUGACCAACAACUAUGCCAGGUCCUAUUCUAUGUGUAGGGACUAUAAAGUUGAACAAGACAGAGGAGGUACUGGCCUCAGAAUUUACAUUCUAGUAGAUGAGAAAGUAAAAAUAAACACAUGAAAACAUGAAUGAACCGGAUAUUAUAGACUGUGAUAGGUGUAGUUUGGGUAAAGCACAGAGUGCAGUAGUAAAGAUAAACUGGACUCAGAGUGGGGCUAUUUUAGAUGGAAUGGAAACCUCUGAGGAAAUGAAAUUUGAGCUGAGACCUAAAAGGUCACCCAAGGACUCAUGGGAAAACUCAGUUGUUUCUAUCAAAAUUUAGCUUCAUGAACUCCAGGCCCUUGCAAAUGAUGGUUACCAGGUGAGAAAUGUCUCACUGGCAACAGAAGUUGGCAGACCCAGCUCCAGUUCCAUCCCAGCCAACAUACCAAUGUCAUUAAAAUAAGGCCAUUCAUCAAGGUGGAGACUAUUACUAGAAACAAGCAUUCUAAAGUGCCAUUUGAGUGCCAGGCUCUCAACACUGGGCAUAGCACUGCUCCAUGAGGCUUUUGAGAGCGUGUACUGACGCAUGACCAAAAAAAUUAAGUCCCAUGUAAGUGACGCAACUGCUCCCCAAUUACUGUGGAAGUAUCUGCAGACUAACUAUUGUGCGCGUGUGUUUGUUUGCUUUAAUGAAUAAAUUCAGUCAACCAACCAUCUAGCUAUUGACUAAAUCCAUUCUUUUUCUUCCAAAAUGUCUAUUGGCUGAAGUUUACUGGUUUUUAUUUCUAUUUGCAUACAUAAUUUUCUAAACCCCAUUCUUAUGGAACCUUCUCUAAGUUCCUCUCUAUGGCCCUGUCCAUGUUCAUAUGGAUACACAUAAAGGCACAAAUACACCAAACUAAGUUUAGAGCAGUCUGGUGCCUGCCUAAGACUUCGGCCUCAUCUCCUGCUUCUACCCUCUUUAGUUUAGGAAAAACAGGUAACGUUGCUGAGUGCCAAGUAUUGUGCUAGUAGCUUUGCAUGCAUUUUUUCAUUUUAUCUUCACAAGUUUCUUCUAUCACCAUGAUCUGUAUGUUUGACCAUGCUGUUUCCUCCACCUGAAAUUCCCUUGGUGCUCUGCCUGGGGAACUGUCACUCAUUCUUCAAAUCUCAAUGGAAUGAUCUCCUCCUCUGGAAAGCUCUCCCUACUUCCCUAGGAAGAAGUAAUCCCUUCCUCAGUUCUGCUUUGAUUAUAACUUUAUAAGCACCUAUCACUCUGCAUGGUAUUAGUUCACUGUCAUGUCCAUUUCCUCCAUUGGGAUGUAAAUUGCUUAUGGGUAAUAAUUAGGCUUUGAAUCAUUUUAUGAUCUGGCCUAAGACAGUGCUUGGCACAUACUAUAGGCUCACCAGAUGAUGGCUGAGUAGAAUUAAAUUGAAUCAAGUUCAAGUUAUCACUUUGAUGUUUAUCAAUUAACAUGUGUAGUGUGUUAAAUGGUGGUCACUGAAAACAUAUGUCUGCACCCUAAUUCCUGGAACCUGUGAAUAUAACCUUAUGUGUUAAGAAGAAAUAUGACCUUAAAUGGAUAUGGAGACAAGAAGCUUAUCCUGGAUUGUCUGAGAGGGACCUAGAUGCAACCACAUGUAUUCUGAUAAGUGGAGAGAAACAGAAGAGGAGGAUGCAAUGUGACCCUGUAGGCAGAAGUUUGAAUGGUGCAGCCACAAGCCAAGGAGUCCCUGGGGCCAUCAGAAGCUGGAAGAAGCAAGGAAUGGAUUCCUUCCUAGUGUUUGGAAGGAGUGUGCACUUGCCAACACCUUGGUUUGAGACUUCUGGCCUCCGGAACUGUGACAGAAUAAAUAUCUGUUGUUUUGAGCCACCCAGUUGUUGCUAAUUUGUUAAAGCAACCCUAGAAAAUUAAUAUAGCAUCCACAAUAAAAUUUCUCAAAAUAUAUGUUCCUGUGAAAUGGAAGAGUUCUAGGGAUCUAGUAGCAUAUACGGAACCCAGAUAAGUUAUACAAGUUUUUCCCUGAAAGUCUUUUCAGAUUCUUUAGCGGGCUAAGGUGCAUUGUGAAUCCCAAAAACUUUAGCGUUUUUCAGCAUCUAUUAUCACAUAAUCCUUUCCCCACCCAUGGAAUUAUAUACUAACCUGUUUUUGUAGAUGUUGAUGUUCUGUAGAACAGAGUUUUGGGGUCUGUAUGACUUAAGAUCCUUCUACAAUGGAACACAGUGAGGAGGGUAUUCAGAGGAGUCAUAGAGGGCAUUGAUCUUGCAAUAUAUACUCAGGAAAUUACCA